rnacentral:rRNA from 1 species
UGCCAGACUCCUACGGGAGGCAGCAGUGAGGAAUAUUGGUCAAUGGGCUUACGCCUGAACCAGCCAAGUCGCGUGAGGGAAGACUGCCCUAUGGGUUGUAAACCUCUUUUGUCAGGGAGCAACGCCGGCUACGUGUAGCCGGACUGAGAGUACCUGAAGAAAAAGCAUCGGCUAACUCCGUGCCAGCAGCCGCGGUAAUACGGAGGAUGCGAGCGUUAUCCGGAUUUAUUGGGUUUAAAGGGUGCGUAGGCGGUUUGAUAAGUUAGAGGUGAAAUGUCGGGGCUCAACCCCGAAACUGCCUCUAAUACUGUUGGACUAGAGAAUAGUUGCGGUAGGCGGAAUGUAUGGUGUAGCGGUGAAAUGCUUAGAGAUCAUACAGAACACCGAUUGCGAAGGCAGCUUACCAAACUAUAUCUGACGUUGAGGCACGAACGCGUGGGUAGCAAACAGGAUUAGAUACCCGGUA